rnacentral:sRNA from 1 species
UUUAACAGUUUCGGGAGAAUUGUGAAACGAGUCAGUCACUAUUGAAAAUAGAAAAAAGUGGAAGCCGCCGUGAUGCCGAGAAAGAAAAAAACCCGACCAGCCGCUAAGAAGACCCCAAAACCGACAGGGUCGGCCAACGAUGUUGAAGAUUGUGUAAUUUGUGUUCUGGAGAUUUUAAAUCCUUUCAAACUGCCCUGCGGGCACUCCUUUUGUACGGAAUGUCUCGAAUUUUCGGUCAAUUCGAGAGCUGAAAAUGAAGGUCCAACCAUCUCGGUUAGAGCUGAAAAUGAAACUCGAAGCACCUGUCCAUUGUGCCGUGCUAUAUUUCGCACCGGUCCUCUGCUCCUCUACGCUAAAAGUCAAACAAAACACGACUCCUAAUACAUACACAAUACGGACUCUUAAGCGUCAAAACAGAUUUUCACCACACUCCGCCUCAUUUUGACGUUGAGCAACACUUUUUAUAUUCAACAUUUUGUAGCUUCGAGAAAAUUCUCAGAACAGCUGGCAAGAAAAUAGUUAGUUUUGCCGUAAUCUACUAAAAAAUAUGGCGACUAAUAAGAAGGACAAGCCAGCUGAAGCUGAGGAAGAAACUAAGACGGGCAGCGCUGAAGACGUUUGCCCCAUUUGCUGUGGUCCGAAAGUGGUUCCCUUGGCAUUGCCCUGCAAGCACACGUUCUGUAAGACUUGCAUAAAAUAUCUGGUUAAACAGAGGUCUUACUAUUUGGGUCAAAUUUUUCCUGGUCCAGUCAUGCGUUGUCCAGUGUGCCGCGAAAUGUUUUGCUCAAAAAAAUCUGUUGCCACUUCCCUCCAGCCAUAGUUCUGAGCAUAUAAACACAUACAAAGUACAUAUGGCUUUCCCGGUUCCCUU